UUUUAUUCCAUAUGUUCCAAAUCCAAAAAUGUCAACCACACAAUCCAGACACUUUUCAUUUACAACAUCUGAAAAAGAAGUGACUCCUUCACAAUUCGUCUAUCAUGGUAUUAUUUUUUGGCUUAUUGUCUUACAACUGAUUAAUCGAUUAAUCAUGUAAUGUGUGUAUCUUUAAACAUGAUUACAGACAUGUUUAAGAUGCGGGAUUUACUACCCAUCACUUUUUGAAGUCACACACAUUUAUUACAACCUUUAACAGCUUGUAGCCACAUUGUUAGUGUUUGUAAAAUGUUCUGUUGAUUGCCCAUGCUGCUUUGAAACGUUUAAUGGACUUGUUGGGUUUAGAUGGAUCAGGAAAAGUUUGAACUUGAUCAAGUGGAUUUUUUUCUUGACUUUCCUUCAUGAUUUGAACUUGUAGACUUUUUGUCCCCACAAUGUUUCCGUUGUCACAGUCUACUUACGGAAUGGGAUUAUUUCAUGACUGUGGCUCCCAUAUGACAGUUUGUGUGUGUGUGUGUGUGUGUGUGUGUGUGUGUGUGUGUGUGUGUGUGUGUGUGUGUGUGUGUGUGUGUGUGUGUGUGUGAGAUCUGCCAACCCCAUCGACCUAAAUGAAGGCAGCCUCUCUCGCUCUGCGGUGCAGACCAGGACUAUUUUGGUCGAAAAGUUGCACAAAUGUUUCUCUCAGUGUGGAGAAAGUCGCUGCUUUGCCUUCAUCUGGGCCACAGGCUGAGUCUAGCAUCUAUAACUUCACUCUGACAUAAAGAAAUAUGAUACAGAACUUCACUUUGAAUUUGACAAGUAGACCUAUCGUAAUUGUCUAGAUGACACAGAGAAGAAGGCCUAUAUUCCAAUAACAGUAAUAAUCAUAGAAAAGUACUUGUCAAAAUCUUGGAAAUCUAUGGAAGUCCCAAACAAAAAACAGUGUUCAUUGUGGUAAGUUUGUAAUUUCAAAGAUGAGUUUUCUAAUGACAUUUGUAGAAACAUGAAGGGGAAUUUAAGAUGCUCUAAUCUUUUUUGGCAAACUUUACUCUUGUCUGUUUUUUAGAUAGAAGAUAUUCAAAAUGUUUUUUUUAUUGACAGGAUGAAUCUAAAUGUUGCUAAAUAUAAACAAAUUGAUAAGAUUUCUGGAAAAGUCUUUGGAAGCAUUGACUCGUUGCUGUACUAGAAGCUAUUUGAAGGUAAUGUCUGACAUUUCUUUGCAUCACAGCGGCUCCUGUUACAACUUCAAGGAAUGUUACUAAUGGCACACAAUGGUACUAAUACAAAGGGAAGCUUAAGUCUAACUUAUCAUCAUAUAUCUCCUGUUUGAUGGUAAAAGUGAGAGUUUUCUGUUGAGAGCAAUGUGUUGUUGUUGGCCAACCUUAACGUGUCUUUAUUGUGGGCUUAUACUCAUGUAAGUAAAGUAUUUGUUGAGUAUGUGGAGGUCAGUUCAUAUCUGAGUCUUUGGUAUUGGUACAUCCACUGAUCAAAAGACACUAUUAAAGCACUACAUAGAUAUUUAACCGCAGGGCAUUCCACAAACACACCCAUUGACUAAAUAAACAUGGGCUAGAAUCUGUCUAGAUUUAUAAAAGGUUUGUUCCACAUGCGCAUUAAGUCCAAAUACUCGUAAUAACUUCAAAUAAUUGAUCGAUGUAAUCACUAGAACAUAAAUAAAUAUGUUUUAACUUGUCUUAUUAAUUUCACAGAGCAGUGACACGGAGAUGGACAAGAGCAAAAAAAGCCUGUAAAAAAAAAAAGGAAAUGUAGCUGAAGUUUAGAAGGAAAAGACUGGAAUGUACAUUCCCUAAAUGCAAAGCAAGAUGUCUGUGUGGCACAGAGAACUAGCAUGUACACUUUUUAAGAGAAGUGCAAUCAGACUUUUGAUUCCUCUUUUUGAAUCUUUUCCGCAUUCUUGUAUUCAUUUUCAACACAUGAUGUGAGUCGCGCAGACAGGAAGCUGCGGUCGUCUCUGGCGGUGACGUCUCUGCUUUGCACUUUCUGUGCGUUUCAGAGUCUGAAACCCACCUGAGCUGUAGAGCAGACUGACAGCCGAGCUGAUAAACCCUGCAAGAGGAGAUAAAGCGUGUGUGUGUGUGUGUGUGUGUGUGUGUGUGUGUGUGUGUGUGUGUGUGUGUGUGUGUGUGUGUGUGUGUGUGUGUGUGUGUGUGUGUGUGUGUGUGUGUGUGUGUGUGUGUGUGUGUGUGUGUGUGUGAGGAGGGCAGAUAGUAACAUUAGAUGUGUAGAUAGAGGUGGUGAAAAGUGUUGCUGUCAACAAGUUAGCCAUUAGAGAGCGAUAAUCUCUCUUCCUCCUCCCCGCCUGUCCACUAAGUCAACUUCUGCUCUUUCUCUGUCCUCCCUCUCGCUGUUUGGGUCGUGACUUGAUUUUUCUUUUUCUUUUCUUUUUUGUUUAUCUUUAACUUCUGUCCCUUGUCAUAUCCAAAAACAAAAAAAUUAUCCCAUUAAAAAUGUAGCUUUAGCUCCAAAUUGCCAAAUCAUACCAGAGUAAUGCAACGUAAGUUUGCAAAAAAACAGUCAUCAAAUCUGUAUUCUGAACAUUUCCUCAUUUCUUUUUUUCUUUGCCCUUGUCUGUUUCUGUCUGUCUGUUUGUCUGUCUGGUGAGAGAGACCUUUUCUUUACCUAAACAGUGAAGUGCUGCCUGAGUGUUUCGUCCCUCGGGGGCUCUGUAAUUAGGGAAAAGGGGUGUAAGUAUGUAUGUGUGUGUUUUUCCACGCUAGAUAUUUGAGAAGAUGGGGUGUCUGCAAGCAUCAAUGGACCCUUGAGGUCCUUGAAGAGUGUGUUGUAAAGUCCGAGUGUGUGCUACAUAUGUUCGGACACAAUGGAGUUGAAAAUAAGGGAGUAGUUUAGCCUUAAAAAAAACA